rnacentral:rRNA from 1 species
GACGAACGCUGGCGGCGUGCCUAAUACAUGCAAGUAGGACGCAGUUGCGAACGGGUGAGUAACGCGUAGGUAACUGCCUAUUAGAGGGGGAUAACUAUUGGAAACGAUAGCUAAUACCGCAUACUAGUAGAUGGCCCUGCGUUGUAUUAGCUAGUAGGUCGGGUAAUGGCCUACCUAGGCGACGAUACAUAGCCGAACUGAUAGGGUAGUCGGACAAAAGUGGAGGGAUGCACGGGCGAGACUCCUAAGGGAGGCAGGAGGAGGGAAUGUUCGGGAAUGGGGGGAACACUGACCGGGCAACGAAGCGUGAGUGAAGAAGGUUAUCGAAUCGGAAAGCUCUGUUGUUAAGGAAGCGGUACUUAACCAGAAAGGGACGGCUAACUACGUGCCAGCAGACGCGGUAAUUC